CCUACGGGAGGCAGCAGUGGGGAAUAUUGCGCAAUGGGCGAAAGCCUGACGCAGCGACGCCGCGUGUGGGAUGAAGGUCUUCGGAUUGUAAACCACUGUCGGGAGGGACGAAUGCGCCGCAAGGCGAGUGACGGUACCUCCAAAGGAAGCACCGGCUAACUCUGUGCCAGCAGCCGCGGUAAU
rnacentral:rRNA from 1 species